UGGGGAAUCUUCCGCAAUGGACGAAAGUCUGACGGAGCAACGCCGCGUGAACGAUGAAGGUCUUCGGAUUGUAAAGUUCUGUGAUCCGGGACGAAGGCAUUGAUUGAGAACAUUGAUUGAUGUUGACGGUACCCGAAUAGCAAGCCACGGCUAACUACGUGCCAGCAGCCGCGGUAAUACGUAGGUGGCAAGCGUUGUCCGGAAUUAUUGGGCGUAAAGCGCGCGCAGGCGGCUUCUUAAGUCCAUCUUAAAAGUGCGGGGCUUAACCCCGUGAUGGGAUGGAAACUGAGAGGCUGGAGUAUCGGAGAGGAAAGUGGAAUUCCUAGUGUAGCGGUGAAAUGCGUAGAGAUUAGGAAGAACACCGGUGGCGAAGGCGACUUUCUGGACGA
rnacentral:rRNA from 1 species